CAGAUUUUUCCGAGGGAAAAUCCUUAGGGAAGGGAGUGUGUGCAGAGGGAUUAGUGCUGGGCCGAGCCCCAGUCAUUCCUGGUCCUCCUCUGAGAUUUCUCGGCUUCCUGUAGGGACAUGCUCCCCACUCACCAGGGCUCCCUACCCUCCCCCAACUCACCACACCCCCUCCUUGGUACAAGCAGGGAUGGAAAACCCAGGGCUUCAGCCUGACCCCACCACCCCUAUGUGCCCAUGGGCCCCAGACCCUCCCUAGCCCUGCCCAGUCCCUCUCCCCUGAGUCAGCAGCCUCAGACCCUGAGAGAUGGAAGUAUGGGAUGCAAAGGGAGUCAAGAUGGGGAGGAGGCAGGCCUGGGAUGCUCAGAGAAAGUUUCCAUGCUGAAUGGCUCAUUCUGAGCUGCUCUGCCAAUUCCCCCUCCUCACUAAGCCCAGGAUUAGAGUAAGUGGAGUCCUGGAACACAGGAGCCAGAGUCUGGGAAUGGAGCACAGUGUGGUGAAGGGAAUCAGGCAGGCUUCCCCUGGAAUCCUUGUUCAGCCCCUCACACACACCCGCUGUGUGGUCUGGGCAGGCCAUUGACCUCUCUUAGCUCCACUUCCUCACUUGUCAAAUGAGGAUCAUCAAGUCUGACCACGAUUGGAGAGGAUGUGUGUAAGAUGUGGUGUUCAGUCGGCGGCAGUGGCUAGCUGACUAUUACCACUGUUGUUAUGAGUUCUAAGUGCAGGAGGAGUGGGAAAGAAUGGGUAUUUCCUGCCCCUGACUCUCAGGCCCUGGAAGGCUGAGAGGUUCAGUGAGAGAACGUGGCAUUGGCAUCUGAUAGGCCAGGUUGGACCUCGUCUCCACUGUGUGAGCCCAGCAGUGACUCAUCCUCACCAGGCCGCCACUUCCACACUGAUACACAAGAUGCAUUAUAGGUCUGCUCAGAGACUGAGUGAGAUUUAACACGGCGUGGGUCUAGCACAGUGUCUGUUGUGUCUGCCCUGCUUCCCUUUUGCCUCUGUCUGAACCCAGUGAGGCCAGCUCCCUGGCUCCAUCCUCUGCCCUCCUCAAGCGGUCCCAACCAUCCUUGUCUUGCCUGAUUUUUGCCACACUUCCUUGCUCCUCUUCUCCAAAACCAUAUUCACCUGUCACUUCCCUUGCUCAAGAGCCUACCAUAGCUCCCUAUUACUGAUCACAUCUAAAUCAGCCUUCUCAGCCUGGCAUUUGAGGCCCUUUCACCUCACCUUCCAGCCCCAUUUUCUCUCCCUUGUCUCACCAGACGCCCCUUGCCCUAAGCUGACUUGGCCCUGGCUGACCUCCUGCUCCCCAAACUUUCCCCACAGCACUCAUCUCUUGUGGCCUCCCUCCACCCUCCUCCCUUGUCUUCCAAGCUGGACCCAGCUCAUCCAUCUCCAAGCUCCAACAAACAAGUUACAGACAAACCAAAUCUCAAGCAGCAGCCAAGAGGAAGCCUGUCCAUAAUGGGCCAUAAUACAGUUACCGGCGGGUCGGCUUUGGGAAGAAUCAGGAUCACCCUGGCCCCUGUUGAGAAUAGACUAAGCAAGGGAGGAAGCAGAGAGACCAGUUAUGAGGCUCUUGCAAUGACCCUGCUGAGAGAAGAUGGUACCUUGGACCAGGUGGUAAUGGGGGAGCCGGUGAGAAAUGGUCAGAUUAUGGAUGUAUUUUGAAGUUAGAGCCAAUAGGAUUUCCUGAUGGAUUGGACACAGGGUGCGAGAAAAAGAGACUCAUCAAGGAUGACUACCAGCUUUUUGGUCUGAGCAACUCAGAGGAAGGAGUUGUCAUUAACUGAGAUGGGACUACUGUGGGGAAAGCAGAUUUGAGGGGGGGAUCAGGAACUCAGUUUCAGACAUGCCAAUUUUGAUAUUCCUGUUAGACAUCCAGGUUGGGAUGUUGAGCACGCAAUUUGAAUAGACAAGUCUGGAGUUCAAGGGAAAGGCUUGGGUCUAAGAUAUAAAUGAGGAGUCAUCAGCAUACAAACAGUAUUUAAAGCAAUGAGAGUGAAUUAAUGUACCAAGGGAAUAAGUGUAGAUAAAAAAGAGAAGCAGUUCAAGGACUGAGUUCCAGGCCUCUCCACUGGUUAGAGGUCAGAGAGAAGAGAAGGAACAGCCAAGGAGACAGAGAAGGUAUAGCUGGAGAGGUGGGAGGAGAACCCGGGAGUGCAGUGUCCUGGGGAAAAAGGUAAAAAACAUGGUCGACCUAUCUGGAAAUAUGCGUAAAAGCUUUCAAAAAGUUAAUUCCCUGUACCUAAAAAUUGCUCUUCAAGAAUAUAUUCUAAGUAAACACUCUUGGCUAUGCACUAAGAUUCAUGGCCAAGAAUGUUCUUGAUACUGUGGGUUAUAAAAGUGAAAAACAGG
rnacentral:lncRNA from 1 species